rnacentral:lncRNA from 1 species
GCUCGAAUGAGGCCAGAGGCGUGCGGAAGCUCCAGAGUCCAGCGUCGGGACCAGUUCCCAGCAUUGCUCAGGGCUGGAUGGGGAGCAGAAAUGAAGGAAGCUGAUCAAGGAUGUAACAGGUAGGUAGGGGUGUCCUGGCAGGAAACGGAUGCCACUCUCCAACUAGGCCUUUUGCUCUAGGGGCAGUUUGCGGAUGUCUGAGAAGAUGUAGGGAAACUGGGGUGGGAAGACGGAAGCCAAGAGGAAUAGUGUGGCAUCUGACGCUAGUAACAUGUAGGAGCACUCAUCUCUCUUAGGUUGGAAGAGACGUAGCUGAAGACAGCAGGGCUCUGGAGAGGGGCUGGAUAGGAAUGCUGACCUUGGGUGGAGGGACUCAGCCAGCCUGCAAGGACCCAGUGACCCUAUAGGGAGGGGGCUGGGGAAUAUAUACCCUGGAUUCACUUCCACUCACAUUUGCUCCCUGUGUCCUGUUGACCAACCAACAUGAUGCCGAAGAAGGCAUCCAUACAGUUCCAUAAGGAUCAGUCUCAUGGGCAGAGAGUAGGGUGGGGAAGAGGGGAGGGUGGGGUCUGCAGGGACACAUAGACAAUGUUUAAGGUGGUACAUAGGCCAGGCUUCAUUUCCAUGGGGAAAUAUAUCCUAUGUUCCCUGGACAGGAUGGCCCUCUUGGUUGACCUUAAUUUCUCUGCAUCUUAUUUUCCCAUUCUCUAAAACAGGCAUGACAACAACAAAAAUAAUUAUAAUAAAAUGUCACCCACUUACCAACUGUCAAGAGCUGUUGUGAGGAUUAAAUGAAUUGAUCCAUGUAAUACACUUCGAAUAUCCCAAGGGUUAGCUUUCAUUUCAUUUUUACACCAUCAUUAUCCUUUCUUUAACAGCCAUGGGGGCGGAAAAAAGAUGAAAAACAGCUAUGAGUGCAAGACUAUUCUACUGUCCCUUUAAUUCUUCUAGAACAAAGCAUGAGGAGGGGUUGCUUAGGCAGACACAUCUGUAUUCCCUGUGGAGCACCAGAAAACCAGCUCCCCCAAGCUCCUUCCUUGGCCUGUCUUUUCCACUGUGUUCCCUCAUUCUUUCCCAAUUUCAUCGACACCGUCUACACUGACCUGCUGACCAUCCCAUCAACAAAGAAUGUGGAUUCUGAGGUUGGACAGACUUUGGUUCAAAUUCUGGCUGCUGUGCUGAUUGUUAUUUAUGUGAUGU